UCCGCCCACGAUGCCGGAGGCCAAGCCCGACGAGCUCGACUGCGGGGGCUUCGCCUCUUUGGCUCCUCGCCCGCCGGCGGCGGCGGCGAUCGAGUUCCGCCGAGUCCACCACCACUCCGCGCCGCUAGCUACCCACUUGUUCCACCGACCACAUCGCGCGCCCACCUACGAACUCCGCCCGCCGGCAUCGAUGGGGGCUUCGACGAACGCCCGCGAGCGCGCCAUCGCUGGCCGCAGUACGAUCCGCACGCCGGAGAAGCGUUCUUCAGUUGCCAGUUCGUGCAGAUCUGUCUCUCAGGCAAGCUAGAUUUAUGCAGCAUGUUGAUCCAGAUUAUUACAGGAGAAACUUCCACAUUCCUGAAGUCAUGGUACAAUUGGUAUUUGGAUGGAAGAUAAGGAAAUGUGAUGGCACUCAAUGCUGAGAAGAAACUUUUUUUUCAUGCGAUGGACUGGUUGGCCUUGGCUGCUGGAUACAAUGAACUCUUCAUCUGCCUCAUCUCCAGUGAUGAUAUGAAGGGAAUCCCACUGCCAAUGUCCAUCAAGCAAACUGAUAUGGAGUUCACCUCUGCGACAACGAUCACCUCAGCGAUUUGUUGCAGGAGAUAAGGUGUAGCAGUUUCGACCUCCAGUGGGGAAACUUCUGAGGUAGCUGGAGCCACUGGAAAGCCCACAAUCGAUGCUUAUAAAUCCUUCAUCUACAAGGGGAGGGAGUCAGCUGAGCCAUUUGCACUCCACAUGUUAAUUCGCAGGUUAGCCAAUAGAAUUAUAAUUAUAGUCAUGGAAGAAUAAUCCUUCCCAUAAAACGUAUUGGCACCAAAAAUAUGAAAAUUUAUCAGGUACAACUUGGCAAAAUGAAAAUGAUACGGUAGGUUUGUUUGAGUCUGAAAAUGGUUCCAUGCUAUGAGAUGUAUAUUGUAGUUGGAAUAAUUCUGUGCUUUGCAAGGGGCUUACAGUAUGGAUUUUUUUUUAAAUAUGGAGGAAAUUCAUUGCAUACGUUACUCUAAAGGAGAUGAUUCCCAAAAUAUGUAAUGGGCUCAUGGCUUUGUACUGAAGUCUCAAAUUUAAUGGAGGGCAAUUAAGAAGUAUUUCCUGGAAAGUAUAUUAGGGAAAAACCACGACACAAUACUCUGCUGCUGGUAUGAUGUCUCAGCAGUAUCACAGAGGUAUGAUGCCUCGAAGUAUUAUGAUACCUUGAGGGUAUCAUGAAGAUGGCACCGAUGUUUCUUGGUGGUAUUACUAAAGUUUUUUGAAGGUACCAUGCUUGGGUAUUGUCAUGUGGGGCCGCACCUAUACAAGGAAGGGCCGCAAGAUCAGGGGCGCUGAAGGCGCGCCGUCGACGCUGUAUACGCGAUCACGCGCGGCUGAGCAGGAUUAGCGCGUGGAUUUGAAAACAGAAGGAUCAAUCAGAUCCUUAGUAAUAGGAAUAAUUAGUUACAAUGAUUUGAUUAGCGCCAAGAAUUAAGGCCCGAGUGCCUACUUAAGUUUUGUAUUCAGAAUUUGGAAGGUAACGAGUUGAUCACAAACUUUCUAUUC